rnacentral:rRNA from 1 species
UUAGUGGCGGACGGGUGAGUAACGCGUGGGUAACCUGCCCUGUACAGGGGGACAACAGCCGGAAACGGCUGCUAAUACCGCAUAAGCCUGCGGGGCCGCAUGGCCCGGCAGGAAAAGCUGCGGCGGUACAGGAUGGGCCCGCGUCUGAUUAGCCAGUUGGCGGGGUAACGGCCCACCAAAGCAACGAUCAGUAGCCGGCUUGAGAGAGCGAACGGCCACAUUGGGACUGAGACACGGCCCAAACUCCUACGGGAGGCAGCAG